UUAGGAUUCCAAAGUUCAAUAUUUCAUUUGGACUUGAAACUUCCGAUAUGCUAAAGGAGCUAGGUGUGGUUUUACCUUUCUCUGGUGAAGGGCUGACAAAAAUGGUGGACUCUAAUCAAAAACUUUUUAUGUCCAAUAUAUUGCACAAAUAUUUCAUUGAAGUAAAUGAAGAAGGCACUGAAGCUGCUGCAAUAAGUGUUUUAUUUAUGCAGGCACAAUGUAUGCGUCGUCCAACUCGAAUGGAUUUUGUAGUUGAUCACCCAUUCUUAUAUCUAAUUAGAGAUGAUUUGGCCGGAACAAUCAUCUUUGUUGGACAGGUGCUUAAUCCUCUUGAUGGGUGAUCUUAGCAAGUCACAAUGGAUUGGAUUGCCAAUAAAUAAAUAGGGAACAUGUUUUAUGAUUGAAAUGUAUUAUUUAUGAUAAGAAUAGUAUUAAAUUGUGAUGUACAUGAUCCUUGUGUGAGUGACAUGUAGAGGAGUUUAUUUGAAUAUAUUUUAUAACCAAGUACUUUUCUAAAUAUUCGCAAGAGUAUAAGAAUAGUUUGUGAUAUUUUCAACUUAAUGUUAUCUAUCUGCAUACAUCCUACUUUACUUUGACAUUAUUAUGAUACCAAUAGAGUAUAUGCUAAGUCAUCAAAGUGGGUCAGCAAAUUAAUUAAUUCGAGAAAAUGGUGUUGUGUAAUAUGAUCCAAUAGUUGAGAAAAGGUUUAAAUAUGUAUUUCAUCUUUGCAAUUAGGGGUCGUUUAAAAAUUGGUCUCUGUAAUCGCUAAUCUUGGCAAUUUACCAUUGCAUUGUUUAAUCAUUUAAAAUUUUGUCCCUCUCCCCACUUAAUCACUGCCAUACAUGAAAUUCCAAUUUUACCCCUGAGUUUCCAAUUAUUUCUUCAAUAUUUUGUCCUCUUCUUAAGGGCAAAAUUGGAAUUUCAUGUGUGGUAGUGAUUGCCACGUCAUCGAAUUAGUGACGUGGCAGUGAUUAAGUUGGUCAAAGGACGAAAUUUUAAAUGAUUAAUGAUUGCAAGGCUAGUUUGCAAGGAUUAGCGAAUACAGUAUCAAUUUUUAAACGACCCCUAAUUGUAAGGAUGAAAUACAUAUUUAAAUUUUGAGAGAAUAAUACAGUAAACAAAAAAUAUGCCAAAAGAAGGAUCAAUUAAGAGAGGGGCAUAAAAAUGAUGAUUGGAAUUGGUUCUACUCUCUCCCUAUAUUUCUUUCCUCUAUCUGGCCUUUUUCUCUAUCACUUCAAUGCAUUUUCUCUAAAUGGCUUAGUGCCAAGUUUUCCGUCUGCCAUCUAUUUUUCCUUAAUUGUAAUCACAUCUCCCAGGUGUACUACGUUACUGUAUUUGAUUGUUGGAGAGUAAAAUUGAUAACCGAUUAUAGUAUUUUUCCAUGCGAAAUUUUGUUAUAGAAGCGACUAAACACCGUUACAUCCACAAAAAAAUAUCAUCAAUGACAAUAGAUAAAGAAAUCGGAUAUUUUUCAAUUGAUAUGGAUGAAAAUCACAUUUUUAGUACAAAUUUUAAACAUUUACGUAUUAUUAUCUCCUUUAGGCUCUUUCUCUAGUUUAGAGCUUCAAAUCUAUUUCUAAUUUAAGAGUUAUUUAAAUUAUAAUACAUUAUUUAAGAGUUUUGCAAUGUUGUGAAUAAUCACGUUGUGACAACGGCAAUACGUAAAUUAUUAUAACGCAACAUAUGUAACAACCAAAAACACGAAAUCCUACAUACGACCUUGACCGGGAAUGUUGUUUAAUACCUUGUUCCUAGUUGUAAUGUGUUAUUACUUGGCUAUUUGAGAAUAAUAUUUUAAACCUUUGUCCAAUUGUUCUUAUCUUAAUUACCAUCAUUACAUAACUCCACUCAUUCCGAAGACUACAUCUCGUGCCCAUUCAGUGAUACAUCUCGUGUGUUCAUACAAGAAUCAGAGUUAGCAUAUUGAUUUCAUGAACAUCUACAAUAUUUUUUUUCGUAAAAUUCAUGCAAUAUAAGAGUGACCAUUCAAGCCAAUCAAACUAGUUUAAAUCAAAAUCAUACGCUUGCUGACACAUGAUUGUCCUCUUUAUUUUUUUUUUCUUCAAAUGUUUUGUACUCUUAUCUCUAUGAUUAGAACAAUCUGCAGUGCACUUAAUACACAUAUUUCACAUCCAUGACUUCUAAAGAAAUCACGAAAAGAUGCAUCUGAGAAACAUCUUCCAAAGUUAGGCACUAGAUUGAAAUAUUUAUGUUCUUAAGAAUCAAACUUGAUUAGAGUGUCUUUCAAAUUUAGAGACCAUUUUAGUUGCCAACUUGUAAUUGAAUAGUUUUAAUUUGUUUUAAGGGUCUUGUUGUGUCUCCAGGGUAUUGGUUAAAAAACUAAAAGUAAAAAGAUAAGUCAAAUUUUACAUUAAAAAGAACACUUUUUUUACUUUCAAAAAAGUAGAAUACAUAAUUUUCAAGAGAAUAUUUUAAUCCUUGUUUCAAUCCUCUAAUUUUUUGGAAUUUUUUAUAACUUUUUUUCAUUUUCGAAAACUAAAAUCUGAGUUAUUAAAAUAAUUCAUUUUUUUUAUGGAAUACAUAAAGUUUAUACAACAAAAAGUAUGUCUGCAACAUCUUAAAUUUGUUCUAGAGAUUUUUAAAAACAAAAGCAAAAUGAAUUCGCUACAGAAAGCUUAUAAUUUUUGAAAAAUAAAAAUUUGACUUUCUAGACCAAAAAUUAUUUUUAUUUUUAUAAAUAUUUUGGACAACUCGCAUCUUAGACUAAACUAUACUAGAGAUCCUUUAAGUUAUUUAAUUGUAACAAAUUAGUCUUUUAAUUGGAACAAGUAUGAAGGAAAGUAACAAUAUUUCUUUCUUUUUUGAGUUGUUCUGCCUUUUCGGCCAGCUCAAAACCUUUGGUUUCUACCCAAACCUAAUGAAAAAAAAUGAUGGCAUCAUUUCUUAUAGGUUUCUUGAGAAUGAUUAUGAUCUUGUUCAUGACCUAUUAGAAAUAGAAAGUGGUCUACUAGGAACCUCAAAAACAAAUCGAUUGACAUUGCUAAAGAAUCCCUUAAAUGUGAUUCAAAAUGGAUCUUGUUCUAUCAUAUACGAGAUUGGAAAUGCAUAUUUCUAGUUGGAAAAAAGUAAAAAAUUGGUUUUCGGGCGAUAAUGUUAGUUUCCUUCGAAACUUGCCUAAAAAAUCAGAAAACAAUAUCAAGAAAUAAGACUUCCAUAGAACGGACUUCUUACGACCCCUCAUAUUUUCAGAAAAAUAAAAAAAUUGCAUGAACUUUAUUCAAUUUUCAGAAUUUUUUAGUGAUAUUUUUAUAUAUUUUUGAUAUUAUUUGAUAGGUUUGUCAAUUUUCACUUUGUUUUAUUUAUUUAUUUUAUCAUUUUUUAAGGCAAAAUCCGCUAUUACAUAAAUGGAAGGAUAUUUUCAUCUUUUCUCAUUUAUAGUUAUGUUUUAAGUUCUUAUAAAAAAAAAGUUAUGUUUUAAGUUAUAUAAUCAAAUUCGUGUUUUUUGUGUGGAAAAAUGAGAAUUUCAAAAGGCACGUGAAGAAUGAAUAGGGUGUGAAAAGAAAAUCUUAUAAGAGAUUUCUUAACUAGGCCAUUAGUGAGAACAAUUAUUUAGGCCCAAAUGGGAAACUAGAGUCUAUAACAUAUGGGCUUUCAUUCAUUAUUGACAAGCUUGAAUGUUUCUCAUCAACAUCCAAUAUCUCUAAAACCACUUAAAUACAGAUAUGAUAAUUAUCUGCUUUUUUCGAAAAAUAUAGAUUUGAUGGAUAAUUAUCAGAUAUAUAUUUAUGGGGUCUUAGAUAGAUAUAUUGGAGAUCCUAACAAGAAAUACAUAUCCGAUAAUAAUAAUUUUUUUUAUUUUGAAAAAUAUACAUUCGGUAUGGAUUUUGCAGGUGGUUUUGAAAGCCUAGAAAAUGAGCAGAAUCUAAUUCCAAACUUAAUCCGUAAGUAAAGCACAUUUAGCGGAAGUAACAAAGUAGUAGCAGGUCAACACGCCUAUACUAUACCGACAUGGUUGCGACACAUACACUACGGCAUAGCACUAUUUAAUAACCAACUUCAACUUCAAACUAGAUAGAUAGAUAUCACUCAAAACUCAGAAAUAUUUUUCGAAACAAACAAAAAACAAUGGAUCUUCGUGAAUCAAUAGCCAACCAAACCAACGUAUCACUCAGCGUUGCAAAACAUCUCUUCUCCAAAGAAUCAGACAACAACAUCGUGUUUUCUCCACUUUCACUCCAAGUUGUGCUAAGUAUAAUCGCUUCUGGUUCUGAGGGUCCCACUCAACAACAACUUUUCAACUUCCUUCAAUCCAAAUCCACCGAUCAUCUCAACUACUUCGCUUCACAGCUCGUUUCCGUCAUCCUCUCCGACGCUUCUCCCGCCGGUGGUCCUCUCCUCUCUUUCGUCGACGGUGUUUGGGUUGAUCAAACCCUUUCUCUUCAACCUUCCUUCCAACAAAUCGUGUCCACUCAUUUUAAAGCAGCUUUGUCUUCCGUUGAUUUCCAGAACAAGGUAUGUUUCUAUCAAAUCACAUCUAAAUAUGUUUAUUUUCUUUUUUCAAUUAAGAUAACAUGUGUAGAUUUGAGCCAAACAAUUGUUUUUUGUAUAUGCUGCUAUAAGUUGGUUUUAUAAGCUAUAUAUUGGAGAACUUAUGAAAAUAAGUUGAAAAAAGCUUAUGAAAACUGUCAUAAGCUGCUCUCACAAAACUUACGUUAGUAGAUAUGCUCAAAUAAGUCAAUCCAAACACGUAAGCUAAAAAGAACCUGAAUUAGCUUAUAGAAAAACACUACGAGCUAUAAGCCCAUGAGAAGAUGACAGUUACCAAAUGAGUCCCUUUCAUUCAUAUAAGCUCAUAAGCUAUCAUCUAUAAGCUGGCUUACUCUGCUUGACGAACAGACCAUUAGAAUGUUUUUCCAUCUUAAUGAAAACUGUGGUAUAUAUUUGGAGCUAUCAAUUGCUUUGAAUUCUAAUAGUACAACUUCAUGACUCUAAAUUGAUCAAAAGCAAUUUCAUCAAUGUGGCAAAUCUUUAUGUAUACAAAUAAAUCAGCCUAUACCUGUUUGUCUUUCCUUCGUAAAUGUGCAUCAAACAAAAAGGAGUGUAAACAAUAUGUCAAGCAAGUUCUGCAAUUCCCUGCUACAAUGGCUCUUCAGAGAUUGAAUAGAAAGCCACGUCAAUUUUUGUAGUAUUAAAGAGGGAGCAACUUACAUGAUCCUUUAGCAUACGACUAUCUGACUAAAAUGAUUUAUUUUAGAACAGCUAUUAUAUCAAAUUCUAUGAAAACAUUUGAUCAAAGCAACUUUACUGAGUUUACUCCUUUGUCGUUUUCUAGCAUCCAACUAAUUUAGCAUGUAAUGCAUGAAAAAUACACCAUCAAAAUGUUAAAUUCUUCUAUUGCAAUACUUGUGAAAAGUACUCAACUUAUUUAUAUGCAUAAUUGAUUUUUAAAUUUGAUAUGGUUUUAAAGGCUGUUGAAGUGACCAAUGAAGUGAAUUCAUGGGCUGAAAAAGAGACAAAUGGCCUUAUUAAAGAACUUCUUCCUCUUGGGUCGGUCAACAAUGCAACCCGGCUCAUCUUUGCCAAUGCACUAUACUUCAAAGGAGCGUGGAAUGAUAAGUUUGAUGCUUCAAAAACGGAAGACUACGAGUUUCACCUUUUGAAUGGUAGCCCAGUCAAGGUUCCCUUCAUGACCAGCAAGAAGAAGCAGUUUAUUAGAGCUUUUGAUGGUUUUAAAGUUCUCGGUCUUCCUUAUAAGCAAGGCGAAGAUAAGCGUCAAUUCACCAUGUACUUUUUUCUUCCAAAUGCAAAAGAUGGGUUGGCAGCUUUGGUCGAAAAGGUGGCUUCUGAAUCUGAGCUACUGCAACACAAGCUUCCAUUUGGUAAAGUGGAAGUAGGUGACUUUAGGAUUCCAAAGUUCAAUAUUUCAUUUGGACUUGAAACUUCUGAUAUGCUAAAGGAGCUAGGUGUGGUUUUACCUUUCUCUGGUGGAGGUCUGACAAAGAUGGUGAACUCUUCAGUUAGUCAAAACCUUUGUGUUUCCAAUAUAUUUCACAAGUCUUUCAUUGAAGUAAAUGAAGAAGGCACUGAAGCUGCUGCGGCAACUGCUGCAACUAUAUUGUUAAGGAGCGCCAUGAGUAUUCCACCUCGGCUAGACUUUGUAGCUGACCACCCUUUCUUAUUUAUGAUUAGAGAAGACUUGACCGGAACAAUCAUCUUUGUUGGACAGGUGCUCAAUCCUCUUGCUGGGUGAUUUGAGGGAACUACACUAUAUUGGUUCACCCAUAGAUAAAUAGGGAACUUAUUUUCUAAUAGAUUAAAUGUGUUUAUGAUGAAGAUAGUACUAUAUUUGGACAUGAUCCACGUGUGAGUUACAUUACAUGUAUUAAGGGAAGAGUCUAGAUGAGUUUAUUUGAUAGUAAUUUUGUUUAUGUUUGUAAGACUAUAAGAAUAAGUAUGAUAUUUUAUAACAUAUAAUUACUUCUGUUAUUGUAAGCGUAUGUAAAUAGGUUAUGACAUUUUCAGCUUAUUUUUCCUGAUACCAUAAUGUUAAUGAAAUGGUAAUGUGAAGAGAGGAUUAACCUACGUUUCGUUAUAAAAAGUUUCUUUUUGAAGAUUUCAUAUUGUAUACGCUACAAUAUUUUUGACAGAUUUCAAUUUUGUCAACAACUCAUGAUGCCUUACACUUGCUAAGUUUUUUUUUUUUUUGGAGGGAAUACCAUCUGAAAAGAUAAUAUGAAGGAUAGAGAUUCAAUAGGAUAAUAGUGGUAACAUGAAAACUGGUUGAGGACACUAUACUUCUAUCGCACCCACUACUACUACAUUUACAUUUUUUCUUUUAGUAGUGUGUGUUAAGUUACAUAUAUAAAAAAAAUAAUUGCUAAAGAAGCAUUACCAAGGCAUUUAUAAAAAAUGUUACGCUCUAUUUAUUUAUCUUCAUUCAACGCUCUUGACUAAGUUUUUGUUGCACAAUUUUUCAUUGCUAUCACAUUUGGAGUGAGAACCUUCAUGUCUUCAAUAUUUGUUAAGUUUUGGUGAAAUAUUUUCAGGAUCUAGAUUUUGUUUAUAUUUAUACAAUGACAUUCAUGAAACUUUUAAGAUCAUGUUACUUCAAUGCCCGUGCCUUUCAAAUGAUUAUAAUUCUGACCAAAUGAUUGAAAUUUGUUGUUACUUCAUUACUGGAAUGAGUCAAUCUUUGAGGGCGUGGAGCAAAACAUUUCAUAUAGAAUGUUUAGAAGACAUGAAAGACAUCAUGUUGUAAUGAAUAAGGUUGGUUUUCGGCAGUUGUAUGUGAUUAGUGUUUCGGAAUGUACUGUUAUCCUUAUUUUAAGCUACAUAUUUAGAUUGUUUUUCAAUCACAAUUGCAUGAAACAAUGGUAUAUUUUGAAUUUAAACAGGUUUUGUUCCAGGAAUGGCAAGGAAAUCCCCUGAUUAUCCAUAUCUUCAAACCCAGUCUCGUAUCAUUUUUGAGACAAUGCACAAUCUUGCAGCAAUAUAUUUUCUCCAUCUAUAAAGGUUGCCUAAGAGGACCUUAGCAAUCAUCCUUCCUUGUUUUUUUUUUUUAAUUUACAGGAACAUGUUGAGCAUUAUUCCUCAAGAAAAUUCCAAAGCCAAGUACAGUGGAAAAAGCUGUACAUCUUUAAGAAAGAGCCUUAUUUUGUUCAGUCCAAAUAACUAAUAUCUAUCUAAUGUAAACCAAACUCAAAUUCAAACUUAUACCUGAAAGGUUUGAUCUCAUUUCUUUUAUUGCGUAUUUUCAACAAAGGUAAGUUUAUGUUUUCUUCUCCUUAUGAAGCUGUACCGUAUAUUUAUGUGAAAUGCACCGUGCAAGUUAUGUUGGUUUUUUGGAUGAAAUUCGGUUGAUAGUUUUCCUCACUUUAGAUUUUGAAGAUAAAGCCAAAUAAGAAAGAUAUAGAUUUUGUGCUGCUGCUGAUUUCAAGCUCAUAGACUAUGGUCGUCACCAGAGAUUAGAUGAAGAUGAGAGUUUGUAAUGAUCUUUUUGAAUCAUAACAGAGUUUCAAAUACGGAAGAUCUUAGUCCCUUGUUACGGUUUUUUCUAAUUUUUGAAAUGAGUCAAGUGCGCAAUUUAGUAUUGUUAGGUAUUCUUUUACCCUUGAAGAGAUUUACUGAUUGUGGAUUGGUGCUUUCCUAUAGUCCAUGAGCCGUAGAGUUAUGUUUUGCAUGCAUGCUGAAGUGCUAUAUGACAGGUCCAGAGCUUUUUGGAUUUAAUAGCUAGUUUUAUAAUUCUAUAUAAAUUUUAAUGGAUUUAAAAUUUAGAUCACAGUGCGAGCGAAAAUGAAUGCCUUUGAUUCUAAUAGAUUUGUGAGCGAAAAUUAAUGUCUUUAGUUCUAAUAGAUUUUUUUUGCAUACAUGUUUUGGAUUCUAGAUUUGCUCCACCACUUGUUUACGCCGUUCUUCGAGUCUCAAGGGAUCUUAUAGUGGGAGCCAUGCUCUUAGGAAGCGUCUCCCACAACACAACCUGAUCUCUUUACUCAGCCUGUUUUUACUUCAAAAUUCUCUGCUGAUCUCUUUCAAGCAGCUCUUGGAAUUCUAAGGUAAUCACUACCACUACAUUUUGUUUUACUUUUCAUUAAUUUUGAAAGUGAAAAAUAAAAAGUCUCAUAUUAAAUGAUUACGUUGCAUUCUAGGAUUUAAGGCAAUCCUUCAACAGAUUAAGAGCCUGCUUGGAAUCACACAUUUCACUUAAGAGAUGACCCUCAUUCCUGUCAUCUGUUCUGUUUUUCACAACACCGACGAGGCUUGCAAUUUCAUCCUAUAACAAUAGUCUUGAACUGUGGAAUUUGUGCUUCAAACUUUGCUUCGUAAUCUAGUAAUAACUGUCUGCUAGUAAUAUUUCACAAUUCACGUGGUCAUUUUCUGCAAUGCCACCACUGAUUUUACAUUCAUUUCUCAAAAAACUUUAGUCCCAAAGAGGGACAAUUGAAAUAGUUUCUCAUUAAAGUGAAACAUAACUAUGCCACAUAUCACUUCCACGUUUAUUCUCAAUAUUUUUAUUAUUUAAAACCAAUAUUUUAAUUGACAUAAAUAUUUCAACAAACUUUUGAUCUUAUCUAUUAAAUAUUUUAUUUAAUUUUUUAUUGAAUUCAUAAUAUUUUAUGUAGCAGAAAUAUCUCAACAAGCCACAUACAAUACUUUCAAUCAUAUCCAUUAGUCAUCGCGAGCUUAGCUUAGUUGGUAUGGACAAUGCAUAAUAUAUGCAAAGUCCGGAGUUCGAACCCCAGCCACCACCAAAAAAGAAAAUCCUAUCCGUUAAAUAUUUCACUUUAUUUUUUAAAUAAUCUUUUGUUUAAUUAAUUAAUCCCUAUUUCAAUUUUAGCAUUAUUUGUUUCAAUAAAUGUAAUUUUUUAUAAAUUAUUGAAUUUUCAAAUAUUUCUUUGAAUUUUCGUCUUACUCCAAUUGGAGUAUAAUUUAGUUGAUUUUUUUUAAUUUAAUACAUACUACAAUUGAUUUUAAAAAAUUAUACUCCAUCCGUCCCUCAAUAGAUGACCUAGUUGACUCUGACACACGUACCAAUGCAUAUGUUUUAUCUUUGAUAUCUUCAAUUCUCUACUAAAAAAAUUAUAAAAUUUUAAUAUUUUAAAAAUAUUCAUCGAGACGAAUCCAACAAAAUCUUACAUAAUAUUAUUUAUCUUUGUGAAUUAGUAGAAAAGUAUGGUCAGUAUGUCAAAUCAAUAAUGUAUAUUGUCAACUAGAUCAUCUAUUAAGGGACAGAGGGAGUACCAAAUUUAUAACAUAAGUUGAUUGUUUAAACUUAAAUUUGUUCAACUAGUAUAUAAUUCCAAACUUAAUCUGUAAGCAUUUGAGAGAAAAUGGUCAAAGUAAGCCAACAUCGACACGAUUAUACACACGCUACAUAAGUUGAUGCUUACAAAACAAAAGACUAUGAUUUUCACCUUCUCAAUGGCAGCUCAGUCAAGGUUCCCUUUAUGACUAGCAAGAAGAAGCAGUUUAUUAGAGCUUUUGAUGGUUUUAAAGUUCUUGGUCUUCCUUAUAAGCAAGGCGAAGAUAAGCGUCGUUUCACUAUGUACUUUUUUCUUCCAAAUGCAAAAGAUGGGCUUCCAAGUUUGGUUGAAAAGGUGGCUUCUGAAUUUGAUUUACUACAACACAAGCUUCCUUUUGAUAAAGUGGAAGUAGGUGACUUUAGGAUUCCAAAGUUCAAUAUUUCAUUUGGACUUGAAACUUCUGUUAUGCUAAAGGAGCUAGGUGUGGUUUUACCUUUCUCUGGUGGAGGUCUGACAAAGAUGGUGAACUCUAAUCAAAAACUUUGUGUCCAAUAUAUUGCACAAAUCUUUCAUUGAAGUAAAUGAAGAAGGCACUGAAGCUGCUGCGAUAAGUGUUUUAUUUAUGCAGGCACAAUGUAUGCGUCGUCCAGCUCGAAUGGAUUUUGUAGCUGAUCACCCAUUCUUAUAUCUAAUUAGAGAUGAUUUGGCUGGAACAAUCAUCUUUGUUGGACAUGUGCUUAAUCAUCUUGAUGGGUGAUCUUAGCAACUCACAAUGGAUUGAAUUGCCAAUAAAUAAAUAGGGAACAUGUUUUAUGAUUGAAAUAUAUUAUUUAUGAUAAGAAUAGUAUUAAAUUGUGAUGUACAUGAUCCUUGUGUGAGUGACAUGUAGAGGAGUUUAUUUUAAUAUAUUUUAUAACCAAGUACUUUUUUAAAUAUUCGCAAGAGUAUAAGAAUAGUUUGUGAUAUUUUCAACUUAGGGUCCGUUUGGUUCGGGGGUUUUGAUGGGGAGGGGAGGGAAUAUUUUAAAUUUGUUGUGUUUGGUUUAAUUUUUAGAAGGGGAGGGGAGGGAGAGGAAGGGGAGCAAAAUCCCUUAUAAGUUCAUUUAUUGCUCCCCCUCAAAUUGGAGUUUUUUGGAGAGGAGUGGAGGGAAAGAUAAAUGAUUUAAUGCAAUUUUAAUUAUAUUGACAUAAUUAUCCUCAUAUUCAUUUUUAAAUGACAAAAUCUCCUUAUUAAAAAUUUAAGUGUUUUCAAUAUAUUGCUUAUUACCCUUUUUUCUUAACAUGCCUAUAUCAUCUUUUUUUUUUUUUUUUUUUUUUUUUUUUUUUAAGUAGAACCACAUACUCUUUUCUUCUAAUAUUUUUUUUUUUACGAGAAUUCUUUUUUUUUUUGUGUACUAACAUUGUUCUCAUUUUUUUAUUUAAUAUUUUUUAAUUGUAUUAUAUAUUAAAACAUUAUCAACAAAUUUUGUGCGGGAUUUUUUAUAAAAAUAUUAUAAAUAAGUUCUAACAAUAAUUUUUUUUUAAAUAUUUUUAUAUUUUCGUAGAUUAUUUUAUAAAUAUAUUUUAUAAAUCAGUGCUCUAAUAUUUAUGAAUACCCAAUAUCUUGUCAGAAGUUUUGUGUAUGAUUAUUUAUGGUGUUUACGGUUAUCAAGUUUUCAUGUUUAAUUUUUUAUGAAGUGAAUAAUUUAAAAAUUGUGUUACUGUUUUAAUAUUAGAGGGAUAAAAAAGUAAUUUAGUUUUAAAAUCCCUGCCCUCCCCUUGUGAACCAAACAUGUAUUUGAUUAAAAUCCCUCCCUUCCCCUUCCCUCCCAUCAUUUGAACCAAACAUAUAUUUAAUUAAAAUAUCUCCCCUUCCCUUCCCUCCCUUUCCCUCCCCUCCAUUAAAACCCCUCCCCUCCCCUCCCCUUGGUUGAACCAAACAGACCCUUAAUAUUAUCUAUCUGCAUACAUCCUACCUUACUUUGACAUUAUUAUGAUACCAAUAGAGUAUAUGCUAAGUCAUCAAAGUGGGUCAUCAAAUUAAUUAAUUAAUUAGAGAAAAUGGUUAUGUGUAAUCUGAUCCAAUAGUUGAGAGAAUAAUAAAGUGAACAGAAAAUAUGCCAAAAGAAGGAUCAAUUAAGAGAGGGGCAUAAAAUUGAUGAUUGGAAUUGGUUCUACUCUCUCCCUAUAAUUCUUUCCUCUAUCUGGCCUUUUUGCUCUAUCACUUCAAUGCAUUUUCUCUAAAUGGCUUAGUGCCAAGUUUUCCGUCUGCCAUCUAUUUUUCCUUAAUUGUAAUCACAUCUCCUAGGUGUACUAUGUUACUGUAUUUGAUUGUUUGAGAGUAAAAUUGAUAAUCGAUUAUAGUUUUUUUCCUUGCGAAAUGUUGUUAUAGCAGCGACUAAACACCGUUACAGCUACAACAAAAUACCGUAAAAAUAUAUUAACUUUUCCUUUUAAUCCCUCUAAAUUUUUUCUUUGACUUUUAGUCUCCAAAAGUUUUCCAUAUUAACUUUUGGUCCCUAUUUUUAAGUCAACUUAUAUGUAGAAUUUAUAUUUUUGAACAAAACUUCACUUAAGUUUAUAAUAUUAUAAGAAACUCUCAAAAUAAAAAUAAAAAUUAGAUUUUUUUUAACAAAACAUGUAUUAAAUGUGAAUUUUUAACCGUCAAACGUAUACAAAUUCAUAUUUAAUUCAUGUUUUGUUAAAAAUUCUAAUUUUCUUUUAGAGUUUCUUAUAAUAUUAUAAACUAUUCUGCAAAAUUUUGUUCAGAAAUAUAAAUUCUACAUGAGUCUACUUAGAAGGAAUGACCAAAAGUGAAGAUGAAAACUUUUUGGAGAUUAAAAAUCAAAGAAAUUGUUUAGAGACUAAAACGUAAAGUUGAUAUAUUUUUAUAAGGAUAAAAAAUAUAUUUAACCCUUUAUAGUAUCGACCGUGACAUGGCUUCAUAUAUGUCGAAGAAUAUAUGUUUUUUAUUUUUGUUAUUUUUAGGAAAAUGUUGGUUAUUGUUGAAGUUGGACUUAUUGUAUCUCAUAAUUUUGAGUAAGCUAUGACUACAUAAUUGUUAUGCUUGACAAACUAGAAAAGAAUUUGUGGGUACUAAAGCCUUGUCAAUCAGCCUCAUUAGUCUUUUUCCACCUUCGAACAAGAAACAUGUCUUCUACUUCAACUACAACGUCAUUAUCAAAAAGCUUACUAUCAUAACAUACAGUGCCUUUGUCAUUAUCCUCUUUCAAUGAGAUGUAAGGAUCACUAUAUAUGCAAUACAUACCACCUUUCAAGUAUCAUCAUGAGCUAAAUAAAAAAAAAAAGCUAGUUGAGUUGUUCUUCAACUCUGAUAAAUAACCUCUUCGUUGGAGUUGAUAACAUUUCAAAUGACUUCUUUAUAUUCUAAAAUUUAAAUUUGGUGGGUACAAGAGUAGGCAUAUGUAGAUGAGAGAAAAUGAUAUGAGAGAAAUCGUAAGAAGAGGAGAGUAAAUAGCCUGUUUGAAAUAGUUUUUUUUUCAGUUUUUGAAAUAUAUAAGUCUUCUUCUCACAAUAGUUAUCAUUUUAUAUGUUUUAGUUUUAGUCCCUAAAAUUAAAAAAUUCAAAACAGUUUCUAAAAUUGUAAUUUUAAAAAAUAAUUUAGCAAAAAAGUUUUUAAUUUUCAAGUUUUUAAAAACUAAAAGAGUUUCUGGAAAGUGUUUCAAACAUGCUCUAAGAAUUGUAAGAGAUAAACAUUAAAUGCAAAAGUGUGAGGGAAAAUUAGGUUAAAAUUAAGUUAAGUAUAGCGAGACGGAGUAACAUCUAUAAGUAACGUAACAUAAUAGGUUAAGUAUAGCGAGACAUGUUUACAUUUAUAAGUAAGAGGUUAGGUUAAGUACAACGAAACGGGUUAACGGUUAUUCCUUUCCAAAAAAACAGCUUAUAAUUAGAAACAUAAUUUUAUUUUACUAUAGAUAAAUAUUAAAUGCAAAAGUGUGAAGGGAAAAAUUAGGUUAAAAUUAAAGAUGACAUUUUGCAUAACUUAAAUUUAGGGUUAAUAUAGUAAAGUCAUGCGAAAAAAUUAGGUUCAAUCUAGGGUUAAUAUUGCGUCACGGGUUAACGUUUAGAAAUAAGAGAACAUAAAUUAAAUCUAAGGUUAAUAUAGUAAAGUCACGCGAAAAAAAUUAGGUUAAAUCUAAAGUUAAUAUUACGUCACGGGUUAACAUUUAGAAAUAAGAGAUGACAUUUUGCAUAAAUUAAAUAUAGGGUUAAUAUAGUAAAGUCACGCAAAAAAUUAGGUUAAAUCUAGAGUUAAUAUUGCGUCACAGGUUAAUAUUCAGAAAUAAGAGAUGACAUUUUGCAUAAAUUAAAUCUACGGUUAAUAUAGUAAAGUCACACGAAAAAAUGUUAAUAUUGCGUCACAGAUUAACUUUUAGAAAUAAGAGAUAGGGGACGACUUCCUUUUGUUUUUAAUAAAAAAAAUAGGUUAAUUUUGUUUUUCAUUUAUAAUUUUGUUUACAUUUAUAAGUAAGAGGUUAGGUUAAGUACAACGAAACGGGUUAACGGUUAUUCCUUUCCAAAAAAACAGCUUAUAAUUAGAAACAUAAUUUAAUUUUACUAUAGAUAAAUAUUAAAUGCAAAAGUGUGAAGGAAAAAAUUAGGUUAAAAUUAAAGAUAACAUUUUGCAUAACUUAUAUUUAUGAUUAAUAUAGUAAAGUCAGGCGAAAAAAUUAGGUUCAAUCUAGGGUUAAUAUCGCGUCACGGGUUAAUGUUUAGAAAUAAGAGAACAUAAAUUAAAUCUAAGGUUAAUAUAGUAAAGUCACGCGAAAAAAUUAGGUUAAAUCUAAAGUUAAUAUUACAUCACGGAUUAACAUUUAGAAAUAAGAGAUGACAUUUUGCAUAAAUUAAAUAUAGGGUUAAUAUAGUAAAGUCACACAAAAAAUUAGGUUAAAUCUAGAGUUAAUAUUGCGUCACAGGUUAAUAUUCAGAAAUAAGAGAUGACAUUUUGCAUAAAUUAAAUCUACGGUUAAUAUAGUAAAGUCACACGAAAAAAUGUUAAUAUUGCAUCACAGAUUAACUUUUAGAAAUAAGAGAUAGGGGACGACUUCCUUUUGUUUUUAAUAAAAAAAAUAGGUUAAUUUUGUUUUUCAUAAAAAAAAAGGGUAAUUAGCUUAGUUUAGGUUUAAUAAAAAAGUAGGGGUCGAUUUUCUUUUGUUUUGAAUAAAAAAUAGGUUUGUUUUGUUUUCAUAAAAAAUAGUGUAAUUAGUUUAGUUUAGGUUUCAUAAAAAAAUUAGGGGUAGAUUUUCUUUUGUUUUUAAUAAAACAUAGGUUUAUUUUGUUUUUCAUAAAAAAAAGGAUCAAUUUUCUUUUGUUUUAAAUAAAAAGUACGUUUGUUUUGUUUUUCAUAAAAAAGGGGAUGAUUUUAUUUUGUUUUUAAUAAAAUAAUAGGUUUGUUUUGUUUUUUAAUAAACUGAAAUAAUAUGAGUGAUCUGCUGUUUUUUUGUUAUGGAUAAGAAUAGGAGGAUUUGUUUAUUUGUUUAGUAAAAUUAAGGAGAAAAAUUAGGAGCUACUUAGUUCAUUUUAAUUUCCCUAACAAUUAACAUUAACAUUUUGAUUAAAUUAAAUAGGGUUAAUAUAGUAAAUUUAAGCAAAUAAAUUAGUUCAAUUGAGGGUUAAAAAUUUUGAGUUCGGUUAACUAAGAGAUAUUUGAAAAUAAAAUAUAAAAAAAAAAAAAAACAUUAUAUAUACAAGCAAAGCUCCUCAAAUUAGGUCAAUUGAGAUCUUCCAUAGUUUCUUCUGCCGUGCCGUAAAAAGAAAGAAUGAAGUUUUCUCGGAAACCAAUCGACCUUGCCUGCUACUUGACGCUUUUCGUGUGCAACAUCAUGCUCUGUUUAGGUAAGGGACACCACUUGUGUACCAUUGGGAUACCAAUGUUAUAUAACAUUGACCAAUGAAGAUGUGCCAUAUAACACUUCACAUGCAUAUCUUUUCUCUUUCCUCUUUAGACCUUCCUAUGUGGCACACUUUCAUUGACCAAUGUUAUAUAACAUUGGUAUCCCAAUGGUACACAAGUGGUGUCCCUCUGUUUAGUCAUGCUCGCUCCAAAAGUCAUGAUACCGAAUACUCAGAGCGAUAUCCAAAUCGAUCCCACUCAACAUCAGCAGCUUCUCGACUUCCUCCGAUCAGAAUCCGCCCUCGCCAACAACCAACAUAGCAGCGUUUCCCUCACCAUCGCCAAACAUCUUUUCUCCAAAGAAUCUCACCGGAACAAGAACAUUGUGUUAUCGCCACUUUCGCUCCAAGUUGUACUCAGCAUCAUCGCUGCUGGCUCUGACGGCUCCACACAACAACAGCUUCUUGACUUCCUCCAAUCUAACUCCACCGAUCAACUCAACUCAUUCGCCUCUAAGCUCGUUUCCGUCAUUCUCAAAGACGGUGCUCCCGCUGGCGGACCUCGUCUCUCUUUUGUCGACGGUGUGUGGGUGGAAAAAACCCUUUCUCUUCAACCUUCCUUCAAACAAAUUGUGUCUAAUGAUUAUAAAGCAAAUUUGUCUUCUGUUGAUUUCAAGAAUAAGAUAUGUUUCUAUAUCUGCUCUCUUUUCACUACAAAAUUCAAAUGCAUAAAUUUUGUAUUGCAAUACUUGUGAAAAGAACUCAACUUAUUAUCUAUUUGAAUAAUUGAUUUUGAAUUUUGAUAUGGUUUUAAAGGCAAGUGAAGUGGCCAAAGAAGUGAAUUUAUGGGCUGCAAAAAGACAAAUGGUAUUAUUAAACAACUUCUUCCUUCCAGGUCGGUUAAUAGCUUAACCAGGCUAAUCAUUGCUAAUGCACUAUACUUCAAAGGAGUGUGGAAUGAUAAGUUUGAUGCUUCAAAAACGAAAGACUAUGAUUUUCACCUUUUGAAUGGCAGCUCAAUUAAGGUUCCCUUCAUGACUAGCAAGGAAGAACAAUAUAUUAGAGCUUUCGAUGAUUUUAAAGUUCUUGGCCUUCCUUAUAAGCAAGGCGAAGAUAAGCGUGAAUUUACUAUGUACUUUUUUCUUCCAAAUGCAAAAGAUGGGCUGCCAACUUUGCUUGAGAAGUUGGCUUCUGAAUCGGAGUCACUAAAACACAAGCUUCCAUAUGAUAGAGUGGAGGUAGGUGACUUUAGGAUCCCAAGGUUCAAUAUUUCAUUUGGACUUGAAACUUCUGAUAUGCUGAAGGAGCUGGGCGUGGUUUUACCUUUCACCAAUGGAGGUCUUACUAAAAUGGUGAACUCUAGUCAAAACCUAUGUAUUUCUAAAAUAUUUCACAAGUCUUUUAUUGAUGUAAAUGAAGAAGGCACCGAAGCUGUUGCAGCCACCGCAACUGAAGUAUUCACUAGCAGUGGCAUGGGUUUUCCAACUCGACUAGACUUUGUGGCUGGCCACCCUUUCUUGUUUAUGAUUAGAGAAGAAUUGACUGGAACAAUCAUCUUUGUUGGACAGGUGUUCAAUCCUCUUGCUGGGUGAUUUUAGCGUGCCACACUCGCCAAUAGAUAAAUAGGGAAUUUAUUUUUCCUGACAAUAUGAUGUUAGUAAAAUGAGAAUGUAGGUAGAUGAUUUACCUGCCUUUCCAUAUGUUUCCUCAUAGAUGUUUUUUUUUUUUUUCCCUUUCUUUCCGAUGAGUUCAUACUUGUGUAUUUUAAUAAAUUUUGGUAGACUUCCUUUAAUUUCUUUAACAACUCAUGAUAUCUAACACCUGCCAAGGUAAUUGGAAGGAUAUAUAUAGAAUCAGAAGGAAUAUAGUGGUAAACAUUAAAUCUGGUUGGGCACACGAACAUUUAAUGCCACACUACUACUGCAUAGCUCUCUUCGGUCUUCACUUUGUGUUCCUCCAUUGACUCAAAUAUUCUUUUUUUUUGUGUAAUUUUUUGUGAAAUUAAAUUAGGAUCUGUAUUUUUUUUUGGUACUUGCAUGGUAACAUUAUGCUUAGAAAUUAUAGACGAUGAUUAAAUUGUAGAUGUUAGUUUUAUCAUGAAACUUUUGAUAUUAUGUUACUUCGAAGGCCUAAUACCUUCCAAAUGAUUCUGACCAAGUGAUUGAAAUUUGUUACUUCAAAUGAAUGGUCAAUCUUUGGGCUACAUUUUUAGACAGUUUUCUCAAUCACAAAUUCACAAUUGGAAGAGACAAUUCUAUAUUUUGAUUUGGGUUAAUUAAGUAAAUGGUUUCUAUAAAUAUUCAUAAUUUUGAUUUUAGUCCUUCCUAAAAAACACACUUUUCAUUCCAUGUAAGAUUUUCCUUUAACACUUUUAGGGAUUAUAAAUGUUGAUGGAAAUUUUAGAAGGACUAGAAAAUGUGAUUUUUGUUUUGAAGGAACUAAAAAUGUAAUUCUGAAUAUUUAUAUGUAUCUUUACUUAAUUGACUCUUUUGAUUUUAACCUUGAUUAUCCAUUUUUCAAAACCAGUCCCACUUCAUUUUAUGAACGAUGCACAAUCUUGCAACGAUUUAUUUUCUACCGUAUGUAAUUUUGCACAUGUUAAAAAGUUUAAAGUACUUUGCAUUAAAAUUUGUACAUUUUGUAUUAAAUAUAUAACUUUUUAAUAAAUAAUUAAAUGUAUGUGAAUAUAAUUUUCUAGAGUUUUUCUAUCAUGUGCAAAUUUUCACACGUUAAGAAAUUUAAAGUAGUAACUUUGCAUUGAAACUUGUACAUUUUGUAUUAAAUAUAUAACUCGUUAAUAAAUAAUUGUUGUUUUUCAAUAAAAACUUACCACUUUUAGUUGCUUUAACAUGUGCAAUAUUGCACAUUUUAAACAACCCCAAUUUUCUAAUCCAUGAUAUAUUAUAUCGAAGAAUACUAGCAACACAUUUUUUAACACUACUAUAUAUCUCUUUGAUUGAUUAAAAUUCACAUAGAUCCCACCAAAUUAUGUGGGCCUAUAUAAAUUUGAUAGAACUAAUAUAAAUUUUAACCAAUCAAUACAAGAGUUUUGGCGAAUUGCUACGAAUUUUUAUUGCAGCUAAUUUUCAUAGUAAAUUUGUCUUCUAUAGGCAACACAAGUAUUUAACACUUCACAAGUCUUCUGUUGAGUUUGUUUCACGUGCACUCAUCAUUGGCCCUUCUUCAAAAAAUUCUCUCACUCAAAUUUAGGGUUUAAUCAUUACGUUUGAUGUUCAAAUUUUUAUUUUUUUUAUUUAUUUAAUUUAAAAAAUGAUUAUGUGGCAUUUUAAUUUUUAAAAAAAUUAGUAAUUAUACACGUGGUCUGCCACGCAUGCGUUGACUAGGUCAAAAUUGACCAAAAGGAUCAAAGUUGCAGGGGGGCUAAAACUUAGGGGUUAAAAUUGUCAUUUUUAUUCAUAUGGAGUCAAAGUCGCAACUUUUUCAAACUUCGGGGGUGAAAGUGCACUUUAACCUAAAAUUUAAUUGUGGUGGCAUGGAACAAAAUUUCCACCUUUUCCAUCAAGAAUCAACAUAUUUGAUGGAAAUCACCAUUCACAUUCAUGAUUGCUUUGCAAGAAAUUAUGAAAUCAAACACACUUCACUCGUGUUUUCAGAGACAGUUACCCUCCAUAAUCUCGUGUUUCCCAGAAUCACAACUAGGAUCUCGAUGCCAAUUGUUAGUGCAACACAUAUUUCUUGCAUAUCCAACAACAAUCAAAUAGAAAUAGAGAAUCUUUAUAGAAUGAUGACUCAUUUAGAGAGAUGAUCAAUAUAAGUGAGAGAGAGAGAGGGGGGAGAGUUUGUUGUAACUAUACUUUUCAUUAGUUACUGAAUGGUGAAUUUUACAACUUAUUUCUAGAAGUAACUUGUUAGUUAAGAAUUAGUUUAACAAACCAACUAAUUUUCUAAACAAACCUUAUCCUAUUCUUACUAAAUUUUAUUCACUUAAUGGAUUAACAACUCAAUAAAAUGUUGGUUAACUUUGAUAUUAUACAGAUUAACUUCCGCUCUCAAUUAAUAGUUGAGAGGUUUGGUCCAAGCAUAAUGUUAUGUCUAAGACAUGUUCGCUUUUCAUAGUUAUUUGUUGGGAUUGAGGAACAAAAAUGAAGAGAUAUUUUAAAAAUAUUAAGAAGGAUAAUUGAACUUCAGUUAAUAGUAUUUUACCAAAUCAUUCUUAUAUGAUAAAUACUCUUGCUCGACAUGAGGAUCGUCAUGUCCUUCAUCAUGUUUGUUGGCACCCACCCUCUGAUGGUUAUAUCAAAGUCAGUGUGGAUGGUUAUUCCUUUGACAACCCAUGUAAUGUGGAUUUUGGUGACCUCUUGAGAGACUCUAAUGAGAUUUGGAUUUUUGUUUUUGUGAUACAUUUAUCGAAUAUGUUUGCUGAACUCUGACCAUUUGGCGAGGCAUUCAAUUGGCAUGAGACUUGGUCAUAAGUAUCUUAUUUGAAAAUUUGACUCUAAAGCGGCUCUAUUUGAUUGAAGAUGUUCAUAACUCCGAUUUUCAUCCUCAUGAGUCUAUUCUUUUGCUCAUUAAGAAGCUCUUCUCUCAUCCUUGGACGGUCUCCUUUAUCCAUACUUUGAGAUAAGACAAUGAAUGUGUUGAUUAGCUAACUAAGUUUGGGGCUAUGAAUGUUGACCCAUGGACUACAUGGACUUCUCCUCCUCCCCCAAUCAGUUCUCGCUCUAUUAACUGAUUUCUUUGAGGUCUUUAGGCAAAAAAAAAGAUUAAUUUACUUGUCUUUCCUUUCCCGCUGAUAAAAAAUGCUUUUGUUCUCGAUUGUCAUUAUUAAGCUAAUUGCAUAACUAUAUGGUAACUAGUAGCGACACCCUCUUAUUAACCUUUAACAAUGAUCUAAAGUAUUCAUCGAGUUGAGGAUAUGCUACUUUUAUAACAUGUUGACACAAAUUUCAUACGUUAUUAUGUCUCUAUAAUUGAUUAUUCUUUAUAAUUUUAGAGGCACUUAGUCAUGUUAAUGAAUGUCACGGCUCUCCACUUGUUGCAAUCACAAAUUCUAUUCAUGAAUUAUUUGGUUAUGGUUUUGCAUAAACUGAACCAAGUUGUACAUGAGAUCAUUUGUUCAUAUUGUCGGUAGUGGGGUGCAACCACCUGUCAGGGGUGGUGAUAAGUGGUGGCGAAGCGGUUCUUCCGUCCAUCAGAUUAGGGCAACAAAUGAUAUUGCUGGGACAAGGUUGUUGUUCUUUGGCCAUUUUUAAGUGUUCGUAUUUUUAGGGAGGGAGAUUUUUACCUAGGUGAAAAAAUGGUGGGAAAUUGCUCUGGUGGUCGUAGUUGUUUGUGCAUUAAAAGUCAUAGGAAAUCCGAGACGGGAGAAUAAUUACAUUGGAUAAGAAGGACUUUGGAGAGGAACAAUGAGAAUCGAUUGCAUGAUCUUUUGCUUAGUUGGCUCUUGCAUUUACCUAUCAUUUCUAACCAGGCCAUAUAUCCUAAUCAAAUUGGAGGCCCAACUCUUAUAGGAAAAAUUGGUCUCUAAUUAAAUAUGAACAUACUUUAUUAUAAAGAGAAAUCUUCUAUUUAAAUUGUGAAUAUCGUCCGUAAAUCUAAAAAAUAGUCAUCAUUGUGACAACAUAUAAAAAACAUCAAUAUUUUAAUCAAUAACAUCAAAAUUUAUUAAUGUUGUUGUUUAAUUUCGCAGCGUUGAAGUUGAAGCAAUGAAUAAUAUUAUGAGAUAAUUAGCAAUUAACAAAUAAAAUUCUAAAUUAACAAAUUAGAAAAGAAGAAUUAAUUAGCAAUUAUUCCAAAAAAAAAGAAUUAAUUAGCAUGUCAUCAACCGUAAAAGACGUCAUCAACCGUAUGGCUGGUUGCAUUCCGUAAAAGACGACAAUGAUAAUUUGGGCUUAAUUACAUAAAUUGUCCCUCAACUUAUUUGUUGUUUUCGAUUUGGUCCCUUAACUUUAAAUUUUUUUAAUUUGGUCCCUCAUGUACAUCCCGUUAGUUAAUUUGAUCCAUGUCAGUUAACUUUAAACCCAAAUGUAUUAGGUGAACCAACAUUGUAGGUGGUCCAUCAUAGACCUUAUUAAUUUUUUUAAUUUCAGCCUUUGAUCUUUUCUUUUCAAAAAGGGGACGGCUAGAUCAUAUAGGUAUAUCGUAUGUUACAGUGAAUCAUCAACACAUAAUUUUUUCUCCUUUUCUUCGUCUUCUACCCUCCUUUCUUCAACAUUUUCAUCAUUAUCUUCAUACACCUCCAUCAAAUAAACUCGGAAAAAUCAACAAACAAAAUUUAAAAUGAUGUCCAAAGCACUCACACACGUACCGUCCACUCAAUAACAACUUUCUCACAAUCUGGAGCUUCCAAAGCACUAACCAACACCACAUUUUAAAAACUCAAAACCAUUCUCUUCAUUUCAUUUCCUCUGGCUUCUUCCAUUUUCUCUUUCAAAACAGUAAUGGUUUCUCUUACUGGAUCCAAUUGUGUUUCUCUCCGUUCCGCCACUUUUGCCGCUGUCGGUAAUUGUAAAAUCACUCAGAUCCGCCAUUACUCUCCGCUUCUCAAUCAUCUCCGUCCCGUUUCCAGUCUUCACUGUAGAUCUAACACAACAACAACAACUUCAAUUGCUUUUUUCGAAUUUGGGUCUCAAAAACUCAAACUUUUUUCUCAGAUUGGAAUUCAAAAAAACAGGAUGAGGGAGUUGAUUUUUUUUCUCGAAUUCGAAUUUCACAUUUGUGUUGUUGUUGUUGCUAAUUUGAUUCUCGAAGGAGGAGGGAACAGUGUGCUGAUUUUGUCGAAUUUGAGUUGUGUUGAUUUUUGUCAAUGAGUUUAAGGACCAUUGUAUCUACGUUACCUCUUUACAAACUUCAAUUGAAGCAUGUGAUGUGUUGAAUCUUCUCUUCAUUUGUUGCUGCCGUUCUGUAAAGCUUGAUUCCAUAAAUGGUAAAUUUGGGAUAUAUUUUGUUUGUGUUGAAUCAAUUUGGGAAAUAUUUUGUUUUUCUUCUUCUGUGUAUAAUGAAUUAGGGGAAAAUUGUGUGAGUAAAAAACUGGAUUAUUUACCGCUCAAGAUGGUGGAGGCGAUUGUGGCUAUGGCGGUGGUUGUGAGCCUGUCGAUUUGAUGAGGGAAGAUGAUGAAGAAAAAUAAAAAUUUUUGGUGUUGGUGGUUUACUGUUACAUACAAUAGUCCUGCAAUCUAAUGGUUGAAAUCAUAUCUAAGAUAUUAGGCAUUAAAAAGUUAACGGAGUGGACCAAAUUAACUAACGGGAUGUACAUGAGGGACCAAAUUGAAAUUUUUUAAAGUUAAGGGACCAAAUCGAAAACAACAAAUAAGUUGAGGGACCAUUUAUGUAAUUAAGCCUUAUUUCUAGUAUGAUGUCAUCAACCACCAUGUCAACAUAUAAUUGGCUGGCUAUUAUCCUUGCCAUUUUUGGAGUUGGGAGCAUAAUUUUCACCAAAUUGCUGACAAAAAUUGAUAGCACCGACCUAUACUAUUAAUAUUAUGGCGAGAUCUAUUUUUAUUUUUUUGAAUUAAAUACUAGAAGCUCCUAAAAUUAGGUCUUGGGUAGUUUCGUCUUCUUUUUUUCUUGCAAGAAUGAGGUUCUCUCGCAAAACAAUCGCCAUUGCCAAAGUUGUUCUCUGCUUCUUCGUGCUCGACUUCCUCCUCCGAUCAGAAUCCGCCCUCGCCAACAACCAAAACAACGUUUCCCUCACCAUCGCCAAACAUCUUUUCUCCAAAGAAUCUCAUCAAGACAAGAAUAUGGUGUUAUCUCCACUUUCACUACAAGUUGUGCUAAGCAUCAUCGCUACUGGCUCCGAGGGCCCCACACAACAACAACUUCUCAACUUCCUCCAAUCCAAAUCCACCUAUCAACUCAACUCCUUCGCCUCUACCCUCGUCUCCGUCAUUCUAAAAGACGCUGCUCCCGCUUCAAACGAAUUGUGUCUAAUGAUUUCAAGAACAAGGUAUGUUUCUAUAUCUCCCCUCUUUUCACUACAAAAUACAUAUGCAUGUCCUGAUUUUGUUAAUAUUUUUGUAUUGCAAUACUCGUGCAAAGAACUCAACUAUAUAUUUGGAUAAUUGAUUUUAAUUUUUGAUAUGGUUUUAAAGGCUGUUGAAGUGAACAAUGAAGUGAAUUUAUGGGCUGAAAGAGAGACAAAUGGUCUUAUUAAAGAACUUCUUCCUUUAGGGUCGGUCGACUACUUUACUCAGCUAAUAUUUGCUAAUGCACUAUACUUUAAAGGAGAGUGGAAUGAUAAUUUUGAUGCUUCGGAAACGAAUGUCUAUGAUUUUCACCUUUUGAAUGGAAACUCAGUUAAGGUUGACUUCAUGACUAGUGAUGAGAAGAAGCAGUUUAUUAGAGAUUUCGAUGAUUUUAAAGUUCUUGGCCUUCCUUAUAAGCAAGGCGAAGACAAGCGUCAAUUUACGAUGUACUUUUUUCUUCCAAAUGCAAAAGAUGGGCUGCCAACUUUGCUUGAGAAGCUUGCUUCCGAAUCUGAGUUACUGCAACACAAGCUUCCUCUUGACAAAGUGGAAGUAGGUGACUUUAGGAUUCCAAGGUUCAAUAUUUCAUUUGAACUUGAAACUUCUGAUAUGUUAAAGGAGCUUGGCGUGGUUUUGCCUUUCACUAAUGGAGGUUUGACUAAAAUGGUGAACUCUGCUGUGAGUCAAAACCUUUAUGUUUCCAA
rnacentral:lncRNA from 1 species